rnacentral:rRNA from 1 species
UGAUAAUUUAAAUAGCCGCAGUAUAUUAACUGUGCAAAGGUAGCAUAAUCAUUUGUCUUUUAAUUGGGGGCUUGUAUGAAUGGUUGGACGAGAUAUAUACUUUCUUUAUUUAAUUUUUUUGAAUUUAUUCUCCUAGUAAAAAUGCUGGGAUUUUUUUGUGGGACGAGAAGACCCUAUAGAAUUUUAUUAAUAAUAUUACUAAUAAAAUUUAAUAAUAUUUUGUUAAUUAUAUAUUAAUUUGGUUGGGGUGAUUUUGAAAUUUUAUUAACUUUCAAUUUUUUUAUUCAUUAAUUAUUGUUUAUAAUGAUCCUUUAUUAUGGAUUAAAAGAUUAAAUUACCUUAGGGAUAACAGCGUAAUUCUUUUGGAGAGUUCUUAUUAAUAAAUGAGUUUGCGACCUCGAUGUUGGAUUAAAGUUAUAUUUGGGUGCAGAAGCUUAAAUUUUAGGUCUGUUCGACCUUUAAAUCUUUACGUGAUCUGAGUUCA